rnacentral:rRNA from 1 species
AGGACGAACGCUGGCGGCGUGCUUAACACAUGCAAGUCGAGCGGAAAGGCCCUUCGGGGUACUCGAGCGGCGAACGGGUGAGUAACACGUGAGCAACCUGCCCUUAGCUUCGGGAUAGCUCCGGGAAACCGGAAUUAAUACCGAAUAUGAUUUUUUGCUGACAUCAGCAGAAGUGGAAAGUUUUUCGGCUAGGGAUGGACUCGCGGCCUAUCAGCUAGUUGGUGAGGUAACGGCCCACCAAGGCGACG